rnacentral:misc_RNA from 1 species
GAUGAAGAACGCAGCGAAAUGCGAUAAGUAAUGUGAAUUGCAGAAUUCCGUGAAUCAUCGAAUCUUUGAACGCACAUUGCGCCCCCUGGCAUUCCGGGGGGCAUGCCUGUCCGAGCGUCAUUUCUGCCCUCCAGCCCGGCUGGGUGUUGGGCGCUGUCCCCCCGGGGACACGCCCCAAAGGCAGUGGCGGCGCCGCGUCGGGUCCUCGAGCGUAUGGGGCUUUGUCACCCGCUCGGGACGGACUCGUCGGCGCUGGUCUUCCUCCAGGCGACCCUUCGGGGCACGUCUUCCUUCGGUUGACCUCGGAUCAGGUAGGGUUACCCGCUGAACUUAAGCAUAUCAAUAAGCGGAGGA